AGUGAACGCUGGCGGUAGGCCUAACACAUGCAAGUCGAACGGCAGCACAGUAAGAGCUUGCUCUUACGGGUGGCGAGUGGCGGACGGGUGAGGAAUACAUCGGAAUCUACUUUUUCGUGGGGGAUAACGUAGGGAAACUUACGCUAACACCGCAUACGACCUACGGGUGAAAGCAGGGGAUCUUCGGACCUUGCGCGAUUGAAUGAGCCGAUGUCGGAUUAGCUAGUUGGCGGGGUAAAGGCCCACCAAGGCGACGAUCCGUAGCUGGUCUGAGAGGAUGAUCAGCCACACUGGAACUGAGACACGGUCCAGACUCCUACGGGAGGCAGCAGUGGGGAAUAUUGGACAAAGGGCGCAAGCCUGAUCCAGCCAUACCGCGUGGGUGAAGAAGGCCUUCGGGUUGUAAAGCCCUUUUGUUGGGAAAGAAAAGCAGCAGGUUAAUACCCCGCUGUUCUGACGGUACCCAAAGAAUAAGCACCGGCUAACUUCGUG
rnacentral:rRNA from 1 species